CUACAGGCUACUCUGGAGGAGCCUGUCUAGGAGGGGCCUGAGCAUUCACUCAUUCUGCACAGAGUUGGGCAGAGCGGGGCGGUAGAGCCCUGGGAGGCCCGCCCCUUGAAUACAUCUCACAGGGCCUCAGCUCUCGGGAUAGUGUGCACAUCUGGGCAGCUGGUGGGAACAUGAACGCCUCACAGAGCCCAUUUCUGUGGAGCACAGUAGAAGGUCCAUCCCACAAGCUCUGAUCUCCUGCACAGACGCUGGAGCAAGCCGUGCCCCUCGGAGAGCUCUCCCUCCACCCGCCAUCGCACCAGGAAACCCCUGCCACCCACCCUCACCCCAUUUGUGCUGCCAAUGGCUGACUGAAGAUACCUGGACUGUGGUGCCUGCCCACUCCCUGAUGCCUGGAGGGGGUCCGGGAGACUCAUGCUCCAGGAGCAAGAGAGUCUGCUUGCUGACUGCUGCGUGCCCUGGGCACUGAAGUGGUUUUACAUCCCAACUGCUUGGACAUGAGUGUGUCCUCUGCACACCAGGCCCCUGUGGACAAGAGUGCAGCUCCUGUCCUGCCUGAUGCUAGACAGGAGUGCCGUACAACCCAGCAGCCUAUUGUAGUCUGUUGCUGCUGAGAACUGUUGGUUAGUAGCUCCCAUUUGGAGAGCAUGUCAGCCACCAGUAACACACCAUCACUUUCCAUGGCUUGCUAUUAAAUUAUCCAGCAAUGCAGUUCUGAGUGUCUGGUCUGUUUCCAGCCCUUGACCCUUGGGAUUCCUGGUUUGUUUCCCCACUCCCCUCCAAUUUGGCCUCCUUCUAUCAGUUUUUUAUUAAUUGUUUGAAAUAGGGUUUACUACAAUAGCCCAAGCUG